UUAUAGGGUUCUUCUUUAGCUUAAGCUAUGGCGCUUCCCACUGAGAAGAUCGAUCGCUUGACAGUGCUCCAUGGCGCGAUCGUCGUCACCAUGGACGGCGAUCGAAAUGUAUACGCUUGCGGCGGCUUGGCGAUGCGCGGUGACAGGAUUAUUGCUGUUGGUGAGGAUCAGGCGAUUCUGGCCGAUUUUGCGAGUGGUGCGGACGACAUUGUCGAUCUCUCUGGUCGUUUGAUCAUACCUGGGCUCAUCAACACUCACGUACACACAUCGCAGCAGCUCGGCCGGGGAAUUGCCGAUGAUGUCGAUCUUCUCACCUGGCUCCACAAGCGCAUCUGGCCAUACGAAUCGAGCAUGACGGACAGCGAUUCUUUUCUCUCCACUUUGCUCUGUGGGAUAGAACUCAUUCGAUCUGGCGUAACUUGCUUCGCUGAAGCUGGCGGACAGCAUGUACCGGCCAUGGCUCGAGCAGUAGAGCUUCUGGGAAUUCGUGCGUGCUUGACACGCUCAACGAUGGACUCUGGGGAAGGCUUGCCGAGCUCGUGGGCAACCGAGACAACUGACUCCUGUCUCACGGCCCAGGAAGAGCUAUACAAGAGUUUAAAUGGUAGUGCUGGGGGGCGUAUACGUGUGUGGUUUGGUUUACGACAGAUUAUGAACGCUACCGAUGCAUUGCUGCUGCGUACUAAAGAAGCUGCCGACAAGUAUAACACUGGAAUACACAUGCAUGUUUCAGAGAUUCCUUACGAAAACGAGUACGUUAUCAAGACAAGGGGCGUAGAGAACGGCACGGUCACCCAUUUGGACAGGAUUGGCGUUCUUGGAGAAAAUCUCUUGGCUGCACAUUCGGUAUGGAUCAACGAGGGAGAGGUCAAAAUGAUGGCAAAAUCCGGAGUUAAAGUGUCACAUUGUCCUGCUUCCGCUAUGCGCAUGCUAGGAUUUUGUCCCGUUCAAGAAAUGCUAGAGCAAGGUGUUUGUGUCUCCAUUGGAACAGACGGUGCUCCCUCAAACAACAGAAUGAGCAUGGUGGACGAGAUGUACUUAGCGUCCUUGAUAAACAAAGGAAAGCUGGCUCACACCAGAGGAACAACUGAUCCCACUGCAUUGCCAGCGGAGACGGUUUUAGAAAUGGCUACCAUCAACGGAGCCAAAUCCGUCCUGUGGGACAAUGAAAUCGGCUCUAUAGAAGUCCACAAAAAGGCUGAUUUUGUAGUGAUCAAUCCACAGACGUGGUCGAUGGUGCCUCUCCACGAUCCGAUUUCGAGCCUUGUUUACUCGAUGAGGAGCGAGAACAUUGAGUCAGUGAUCUGUGACGGUGUCUGGAUAAUGCGUGACCGAAAGAUACUAACAAUCGAAGAGGCCACAAUUCUCAAGACUGCGGCUCAGGCUGCCCAGGAGCUGAUCCAUAGAGCUGGGAUCCAACUCCCGGAAAGAAUGAAAGUCACGAAAUAAAUCUCAAAAAAAAAAAACGUAAGCAUUUUUGUUCUCCAAAACUUACAAGAUAGUUGUUUAGAUCAAGUGCAUGCAAAGCCCGGUGGAACGACCAGGCUGCAAGCAGCGAUAUACGUCUUCACUCUCUGGGCCAUGACUGUCCCUUCGAGCAAGCUACAAAAGCAAUCCAGGCUGAGGCUUCUCACGGCGACGCAGCACUGACUGGUUGGAGAAUCGAGAGCUUUGCCGUCAUCGAUGCAAGGGAGAGAUUUCUCUGGAAGAUCGGGAUCAGUGCAAGCCCCUCCCGCCACGACCAGCAGCGCCAAGAGAAGAAACGACACCUUGACGAAGAAGAUCAGGCCAGCCAUUUUCUUACACACCACCUUUCUUUCACUUACCUUGGUUUUGGCUUUGUCCUUCCAAGAUUUAUAUCGAAACGUUCACAAGAAAAAUGGAGGGCUCUUAGCCCAUUUUUUCGAUAUCUUGGCAGUGUGAACAGCUGCUUGAUCCAUGCAUCCGGUCAGCAUCUUUUCAUCCUUGAAAGUGAUCAGAAUUGCUGUGGGGCUGCUCAAAACUGCUAUUGACUUCGUUGCUCAAGAGAUCGAGAUCAAAAGCUUCCUUGUUCUUCUUUUUCUUCUUUGGAAA